UUUUAUUUAUAGGUUCCUAAAUUGGUAUGGCAUAAUUUUCAAUUGCAAAACUGACAAUGGCAAUGUUGCGCCUUGCGCGUCACUUUCGAAAUGGCUGCUGAGUUUCGACGAAGACGAGCGACUAACUAACAAGUGAAUGCCAUAUGCCAAGCAAAGUUACGCCUUCUUUUCUAGACACUGUUUGUCUGUUUGUUCGAGAACUAUUUCUUCCCUGGAAUAGUGGAAUUAUUCAUCUCAAAAAUGCCUGGUGAAGUCUUAGCUUCUUCAUCACAGUCCAAUGUGCUGUGCAGUGCAAUUAGUUAAGUCAGCUGUCGAAAGGUGUUCUUCUUCCAGGCUUGCUAUCUGUACUGGUUGUAACUUUCGUCACAUACAGAAACAAUUCCAAAGCAACAUGAUGAAGAUCUUGCCUUUCUUCACGUGGUUGCUGCAGUGUCAUGAGGAUGCAUGUUUGAGAGGGUCUCUACUAUAUUGCAAGACAAAAAUGUGAUGACAACAGGAAAUCUGAAAAUGAUGUACUUGUUUUAUAAAUCGAGUGUCUAUGGUCUGCAUGGUGUACAGUGGUUUUGUAGUCCUUUUCCAGUUGAGAAAUGCGCUGAAAUGGAGGCUUGUGCAGACUUGCACUUGAACAUCAUUCUAUAAAGUGUCAUUUGCCUAUGUUGGUUACCAUGCAGUAAAAUAA
rnacentral:lncRNA from 1 species